AACUCAAUGGUUCUUUGCAGCUGAUAAACUGCAUAGCACCUGUCAGCCAGGGGAGAGAGGAGAUGUCCUGCUGCUGAGCCAACAACUAUGGGAAAACUACUCU